AUGUCAUUAAGUAAGAUUAAAGUCACCUGUUUCUUCCCAGAUUGCAUACAGCAUGAGCAACAGCAGUGCUAGCUUCUCCACACCACCGUGCUUACAUGCCUCAGCCCUGACCUUUAGGGACAGCCACUACAGCUGAGAGGAUCGUUCCAUCUCCGCCCCCCAUUCGAACCUUGGCCUCA
rnacentral:sRNA from 1 species